AGUGAACGCUGGCGGCAUGCCUAACACAUGCAAGUCGAACGGCAACACAUUAAUAGCUUGCUCGUACGGGUGGCGAGUGGCAGACGGGUGAGGAAGGCAUCGGAAUCUACGUUGUCAAGGGGGGUAACUUAGGCAAACUUACGCGAAUACCACAUACAACCUACGGGUGGAAGCAGGUGCUCUUCGUAACUUACGCGAUGAAGUGAGCCGAUGUCGGAUUGGCUAGCUGUCGGGGUAAAGACCCGCUAAUCAGACGAUCCGUAGCUGGUCUGAGAGGAUGAUAAGCGCCACUGGGAGUGAGAGAUGGGCCAGACUGCUACGGGGGGCAGGAGUGGGGAAUAUUGGAAAACGGGAGUAAGGAAGAUCCAGCAAUAGCGCGUGGGUGAAGAAGGCCUUCGGGUUGUAAAGUAGUUGUGCUGGGAAAGAAAAGCAGCAGGUCCAGAAGAAGAUGUUAUGACGGUACCUAAAGAAUAAGCACCGGCUAACUCCGUG
rnacentral:rRNA from 1 species